ACUAGCAAGAAGGCAACUGUCUGCAGAACCUGGGGUGGGGGUGGUCUGUGCCUGAGAACCUGCUUAUGCAUGCUUGGUCCUGAUAGCACGAAGGACAAAGAAGAAAUGUGAACCUUAGCACCCUAUAGCAGCACUGACUUCCCAAGCAAGCUCUUUCUCACAGCCAAUACCCUAAGAGGGAGACACAAAUCCCAACCUGUGUGACACUGCCAUGGGUUCCAGGUUCCUCUGCUAUGUGGCCCUUUGUCUCCUGGGAGCAGAUUCUGUGAAAGCUGAAAUUACUCAGAUACCAAAACACCUGGUCACAGAGAAGGGGACUAACAGGAUGCUAACGUGUGAACAAAAUCUAGGGCAUAAUGCUAUGUAUUGGUAUAGACAGAGCACCAAGAAGACUGUAGAACUCAUGUUUUCUUACAACUAUAAAGAACUAGUUAAAAAUGAAACUGUUUCAAAUCGCUUCACACCUAAAAAUCCAGACAAUUCUCAGUUACAGCUUCGUGUAGAUGCCCUGGAGCCAGAAGACUCAGCUGUGUAUCUCUGUGCCAGCAGUCAAGACACAGCCUUGCAAAGUCACAACCUACCCGUGCACAAACCUUCUGGUUCUAUUCAGGAAGUGAUGGGAGCAACAUGUCCACCCAAGCCCUGA